AGAGUUUGAUCAUGGCUCAGAACGAACGCUGGCGGCAGGCCUAACACAUGCAAGUCGAACGCUGCAGCAAUGCAGAGUGGCAGACGGGUGAGUAACACGUGGGAAUCUUCCUAUCGGUACGGAAUAGCUCAGGGAAACUUGGGGUAAUACCGCAUACGCCCUUCGGGGGAAAGAUUUAUCGCCGAUAGAUGAGCCCGCGUCUGAUUAGCUAGUUGGUGAGGUAAUGGCUCACCAAGGCGACGAUCAGUAGCUGGUCUGAGAGGAUGACCAGCCACACUGGGACUGAGACACGGCCCAGACUCCUACGGGAGGCAGCAGUGGGGAAUAUUGGACAAUGGGCGCAAGCCUGAUCCAGCCAUGCCGCGUGAGUGACGAAGGUCUUCGGAUUGUAAAGCUCUUUUGGCGGGGACGAUAAUGACGGUACCCGCAGAAUAGCC
rnacentral:rRNA from 1 species